GUCCACGCUGUAAACGAUGAGAACUAGCUGUUGGUUUACGUAAGUGAAGCAGUAGCGCAGCAAACGCGAUAAGUUCUCCGCCUGGGGAGUACGGCCGCAAGGCUAAAACUCAAAGGAAUUGACGGGGGCCCGCACAAGCGGUGGAGCAUGUGGUUUAAUUCGAUGCAACGCGAAGAACCUUACCUACUUUUGACAUCUAGGGGAGGCUGUAGAGAUACGGCUGUGCCGAAAGGAACCCUAAGACAGGUGCUGCAUGGCUGUCGU
rnacentral:rRNA from 1 species